rnacentral:rRNA from 1 species
UACGUAGGGGGCUAGCGUUGUCCGGAAUCAUUGGGCGUAAAGCGCGUGUAGGCGGUCCGGUAAGUCCGCUGUGAAAGUCGGGGGCUCAACCCUCGGAUGCCGGUGGAUACUGUCGGGCUUGAGUACGGAAGAGGCGAGUGGAAUUCCUGGUGUAGCGGUGAGAUGCGCAGAUAUCAGGAGGAACACCAAUUGCGAAGGCAGCUCGCUGGGACGUUACUGACGCUGAGGUGCGAAAGCGUGGGGAGCAAACAGG